rnacentral:snRNA from 1 species
UUUCGAUAGUUAGUGCGUAAA